UGAGUAAAAGAAAAAGAGGUUUUCUUCUUCCCACCACCAAUUUGCCUCCGCUUCACGGCCUUGACACCCGUCGCAUUGCAGGCGCCGGUCACCGUCUGGGUGGGCGCUGUCAUUCCGGUGGGUUUUUGCCGGAAUCUUGAUUUUCUUGCUAGAUUGGAGAUUUAAGAGAUUAUUGGAACGUUGUCCAGUGGUGUUCUGGGCGUUUGGUGCUUUCUUUUGGAGGUUUGAUUUGAAGCUUCGAACCACUAUCCAUAAAAAAUUAAAGGUUGAUUUUGGCAGUUUAGCUAUUGGGUUGUGCUGAAUUUGGGGUCUUCAGGUUCUAAUUCGACACUUUUGUUGGAGAUUGCUCUGCUUGAAUAUUUUAUCAGUGCCUAGUACGGACAAGAACAUAUCGGUGAAUGACAGGAUGAAUCCAUGAUCGUGCCAAUGGGAAUAGCUAGACGCUUCCAUACAUGUUUUUUUUCAUGAUUUUCAUGUUAUAGUUGAUAGCAGUCAAAUAUUUAGAGUUUUUCAUUAUUUUUCUUAUUUCGAACUCACAUUUUUAGGGGACCAAAGAAAGUAUUUUAUGUUCUUUG